UUGCACCUUGCAGAGAAGUAGAAGAAACGUCUAAUUUACAAAAUCUCCUCUUUCACUACAAAUACCCAAACGCAUCUCUUUCCUCGAGCUGUCGGUGUUUUUUGUUUCUCUUCCCCGGAUCCAUUCGUCUUCUGCGUCUUCCACAGGUGAAAUUGAAAAAGACACACUCUUUUUCAUUGCUAUCCUGAUUUGGGGGUGGGUUUUAUCUAUUUGAUGUUGUGGGUUUAGAUCUUGGGUUAACUGAUGUUCUGUGUUUUCAAAAAGAGUUAAACUUUGCUGAUGAUGAAACUGUUUUGUUCUUGUGUUGUGUUACUUACAGGAGGAGACUGCAAACAAAUCUGAAAUGUCCCGUGGAAGGGUUCCUUUCACGGAUCUGAAACGAGUAUACGAUGUUGAGCAAGCGUGCUCUAUGCCAAACACAUUCCAAGACGAUGAUGAUGAUGAUGAUGAU
rnacentral:lncRNA from 1 species